GUGCUCACUUCAGCAACACAGACACUAAAACUGGAAUGCUAUAGAGAAGAUAAGCAAGGCUCCUGUGCAAGGAUAACAUGCAAAUCUGUGGUGUGUUUCAUAUUUUU
ensembl:snRNA U6 U6 spliceosomal RNA